UGUGUGGACUACGGCCAUGUGUGACCGUAAACUUCCACUCCGUGUAAAAGAUGUAUUACAAACUGAGCAGCUGAAAGGUUUUUCUCCUGUGUGGAUUCUUAUGUGGUUCUUCAGAUGUGACUUGAAGCCAAAUGAUUUCCCACACUCAGAGCAGCUGAAUGGUUUCUUACGUCUUGAAUCAUGUUUCAGAGAGUUUAAAGCUGACUGAGGUUCUCUGGUCUCCUUCCAAUCAGCACUGUC